rnacentral:rRNA from 1 species
GAUGAACGCUGACAGAAUGCUUAACACAUGCAAGUCAACUUGAAUUUGGGUUUUUAACUUAGGUUUGGGUGGCGGACGGGUGAGUAACGCGUAAAGAACUUGCCUCACAGCUAGGGACAACAUUUGGAAACGAAUGCUAAUACCUAAUAUUAUGAUAAUAGGGCAUCCUAUAAUUAUGAAAGCUAUAAGCGCUGUGAGAGAGCUUUGCGUCCCAUUAGCUAGUUGGAGAGGUAACGGCUCACCAAGGCGAUGAUGGGUAGCCGGCCUGAGAGGGUGAUCGGCCACAAGGGGACUGAGACACGGCCCUUACUCCUACGGGAGGCAGCAGUGGGGAAUAUUGGACAAUGGACCAAGAGUCUGAUCCAGCAAUUCUGUGUGCACGAUGAAGUUUUUCGGAAUGUAAAGUGCUUUCAGUUGGGAAGAAAGAAAUGACGGUACCAACAGAAGAAGUGACGGCUAAAUACGUGCCAGCAGCCGCGGUAAUACGUAUGUCACGAGCGUUAUCCGGAUUUAUUGGGCGUAAAGCGCGCCUAGGUGGUUAUGUAAGUCUGAUGUGAAAAUGCAGGGCUCAACUCUGUAUUGCGUUGGAAACUGUAUAACUAGAGUACUGGAGAGGUAAGCGGAACUACAAGUGUAGAGGUGAAAUUCGUAGAUAUUUGUAGGAAUGCCGAUGGGGAAGCCAGCUUACUGGACAGAUACUGACGCUGAAGCGCGAAAGCGUGGGUAGCAAACAGG